rnacentral:tmRNA from 1 species
GGGGAUGAUCGGCUUCGACGGGAGAGGCUGGUCCCGGAUGGCGAGCCGAGAGGUGCCGACCUCGUAAAAUCCGCACAAAACCUUAAGUGCCAACCGCACUUCCUACGCUGCUCUUCCUCUCGCCGCCUAAGGCGAAGGAAAGCGCAACCGUUUCUUUGUGAAACGGCGUCUGCCUGCCCCGUUCACCGACCGGUGGCAGAGCGGGCGUCACAAGGUCGGUGUGCCAUGCAGAUAUCCGUGAUCUGUAUGAAAGAAGGCUUUCGGGCCUGAACGGAUUGCCUGUCUUUUCUUCUGUUGAUCUCUGAAUGACAGGUGAAACCCAAGAUCAACUACGCUCGUAGAGGUUCGAGGGUCGAUUCUUUCGGACGCGGGUUCAAUUCCCGCCAUCUCCACCU